AAUAGAUACCCUGGUAGUGGUGAAAUGCGUAGAUAUCGGGAGGAACACCAGUGGCGAAAGCGGCUCUCUGGGCCAUUCCUGACGCUCAGAUGCGAAAGCUAGGGGAGAGAACGGGAUUAGAAACCCCGGUAUUCCUAGCCGUAAACGAUGUCAACUAGGCGUAGGAGGUCAUUUACCCCUUCUGUGCCGUAGCUAACGCGUUAAGUUGACCGCCUGGGGACUACGGCCGCAAGGCUAAAACUCAAAGGAAUUGACGGGGACCCGCACAAGCAGCGGAGCGUGUGGUUUAAUUCGAGGCUACGCGAAGAACCUUACCAGGGCUUGACAUAUAGCUGGUAGUGAAUCGAAAGAGGAACGACCCUUCGGGGAGGCUAUACAGGUGCUGCAUGGCUGUCGUCAGCUCGUGCCGUGAGGUGUUCGGUUAAGUCCGAUAACGAGCGCAACCCUCAUCGUUAGUUACAAGUGUCUAGCGAGACUGCCGGUGAUAAGCCGGAGGAAGGUGGGAUGACGUCAAGUCAGCAUGGCCUUUAUGUCCUGGGCUA
rnacentral:rRNA from 1 species